GAUAGCAUUCAAGAUAGUAGCAGAUAAUCAUUGCAUGUUCAAUCUGUAUUUGAUGGGAUGAAUGGAAUUGAUAACAUCUGGUGUCUAAGUGUCAAGCUACUCAAGAACAGAGGAUAGCUAGGCUCUUUACUUUUCAAUUUCAUAUAUCAACAUAAACAUUUAACAAGGUCAGCACAAUCUUGAGCACCAUGCUCGAUCCUGAACAAUCUAAACUUCAGCAUCAUGGCUUCUUCCAGCUAAACAAAAGCAGAUGUAUUUGGAAUCCAGUUGUAGGACAUCACAGGGCACCUUCAAAGAUGCGCACCAUGCACAUUUGCUUCAUCAAAGUUGCAAGAUUACAUGUUAAAUCUGGUCAAACAAAUUUAUCUUUGAAUUUUUCCCACCCACUAACUUCCAGUAUUCACAUUCUAACAAGCAAUAGAGUACUAGGAUGUAAUUCAUCCUCAGAAAUAUUGCUUACAAAUAUGAUGUGACAUGUAAUUGACAUAUGAAAGAACAUUUCCAAGCAGGAAACAGGAACCAGUUCUUAGUUUGAGUUAUGUAAGAACUCUACCUCCAUCCUCAAUUUCAUCAGGACAAUAAGCUUGUACAGAUGUAAACAAGCUGAAGCUCAACCAAAUUAUAUGUGAUGAGAUCAAAAAUUAAGAGACGGUGUAGCUCAACUGACUAAAGGAGUAGCUCAACCAAAUUAUGGCAAUGCAUAAU
rnacentral:lncRNA from 1 species